AUGGCUCACGAGGGUAAGGCUCGCAAUGUGCCUGGGGCGGUGGGCAGCAUCAAGGCUAGCGGGAGCGAGUUCGCGAGCACCUGGCGGAAGAUGACGAUGCGGCUGGCCGGCCGCCCGUGCGUAGCUCCACCAGCGACGCCCGUUGCAGCCAAGAAAAACAAGAAGUCUGCCGCCUCCACGAAGAAAAACAAGUUCCGCGCUCCACUGCAAGCACCCGUUGACAUCGAGCCGGUGGCGGCCAUUGGCAUCCUGCCGGCCGAGGAUGGUGGCGAGGUGUCUGGCUGGGUGUGCCCCUGCAUCAUCCUGUAG
rnacentral:rRNA from 1 species